AGUGGCUUCUGUAUAUGACCCACUUGGCUUUGCAGCACCCUUCAUUCUUGUUGGUAAGCAAAUACUGCAGCAGAUGUGUCAAGAUAAGGUGGGCUGGGAUGAACCACUUAAAGAUGAGUUGUUGACAAAGUGGGAAGCUUGGCUUACAGAUCUGCGAAACCUGGCUGAUGUGAAGAUUCAGAGAUGUUAUCUCCCGUCGACCUUUAAGGAAGUUCAGCGUUAUGAGCUUCAUCAUUUCUCUGACGCUAGUGCUUCGGGAUAUGGAGAAUGCACAUAUCUCAGAGCUAUUGGCAUAUCAGGAGAUGUUCAUUGCUCCUUGGUUAUGGGCAAGGCCAGAGUUGCUCCUACUAAGGUUACAACCAUACCAAGGCUGGAGUUAUCAGCGGCAGUAGUUGCUGUACAGACAAGUGACUUGCUCAGAAAGGAGCUGGAGAUAGCCAACCUAGAAGAGUACUUCUGGACUGACUCAAAGGUUGUACUUGGGUACAUUAAUAAUGAUGCCAAAAGAUUUCAUGUCUUUGUAGCCAACCGCGUUCAACGCAUCAAACAAAGUACAGAUUCUAAGCAAUGGAGAUAUGUGACGUCUGAAGAGAACCCUGCCGAUUAUGCGUCCAGAGGCCUUACAUCAGAAGAGCUCAUAUCCUCCAACUGGUUCACAGGACCAAAGUUUCUGUGGAAAGAUGAACUGCCCAGAGAUGUUAAGGUGAGAGAGAUCAUAGACAAUGACCCAGAGCUACGAAAAGCUCAAGUUCAUAAAACUCAAACAAAAGAAGAAAGAUCAUUGCUUGAUCGACUUCACAAGUUUUCAGAUUGGACAAGAGUGGUAAAAGCUAUUGCAAGACUUCAGAGAUGUUCCAAGGAAUUCAAAGGUCUAAGUCCAAGGGUUAAUGAAGCCACCAGUAUUGAAGAAAGACAGGAUGCAGAGCUUACCAUUAUCAGAAUGGUUCAAAAAUCAGCCUUUUGUGAUGAGAUCCAGAGACUCCGGCAACAGAAGGAGAUUGAGUCCAACAACAGCACAAACAAACUGCAUCGCCUGAAUCCCUUCUUAGAUGAGCAUGGUAUCCUCAGGGUGGGAGGUCGCUUAGUACAUGCUGCAUUACACCCACAUGUGAAACACCCAGCAAUUCUCCCACGACAUAGUCAUAUAUCAACAUUACUCAUCAGACAUUAUCAUGAGCAAGUGUAUCACCAAGGGAGAGGAAUGACUAUAAAUGAACUGCGAUCAAACGGUUUCUGGAUUUUGGGAUGUAGCAAAGCAGUGUCUUCAUUUAUCUACAAAUGCACUAUGUGCAGGAAACUGAGAAGAUGCACCGAAGAGCAAAGGAUGGCAAAUCUUCCUCAGGAACGUAUGGAGACAACCCCUCCUUUCACAUACUGCGGGAUGGACUGUUUCGGUCCUUUCUACGUCAAAGAAGGAAGAAAGGAGUUAAAACGCUAUGGGCUUCUACUUACAUGUAUGUGUUCCAGAGCGGUCCAUGUAGAAAUGCUGGAUGAUUUAUCCACUGACGCAUUCAUUAAUGCUUUGCGUGCUUUCAUUGCCAUACGUGGACCUGUGCGUCAACUUAGAUCUGACCAGGGCACUAAUUUCGUGGGUGCAAGACGAGAAUUUGCUGAAGCACUAAAGGGAAUUAACCAAGAACGCCUAAAGGAGUUUGGCUGUGAAUUCAUCAUGAACACCCCAUCAGCCAGUCACAUGGGUGGCAUUUGGGAGAGGCAGAUUCGGACAAUAAGAAGUGUUUUGACAUCCAUUCUGGAUCAAUCAGCUCAAAGACUUGAUAGUGCCUCACUAAGAACAUUUCUCUAUGAAGUCAUGGCUAUCGUGAAUAGCAGACCUUUAACCACAGAGCAUCUGAAUGAUCCAUCUGGUCCGCAGCCUCUUACACCUAACCAUAUCUUGACUAUGAAGACUUCAAUAAUUUUACCACCACCUGGAGAGUUUGUCAAGGAAGACCUUUAUCUUCGUAAAAGAUGGCGUAAGGUGCAGUAUUUAGCGAAUGAGUUCUGGUCACGUUGGAGAAAAGAAUAUCUUCUAAACCUGCAACACAGGCAGAAAUGGCACAAGCGUCGUAGAAAUGCAAAGGUCAAUGACAUUGUCAUUCUGAAAGAUGACACAGCUCCACGCAGUCAGUGGAAGCUAGCGAAGGUAACAGAAGUGCACAGUGGUACAGAUGGCUGUGUGAGAACAGUGAAGUUAUUGAUUAGUGAUUCGACACUGGAUAAAAAGGGCAAACGUGUUACUAAACCGACUUACCUUGAAAGGCCCAUCCAGAAAAUAGUUACCCUGAUUGAAGCAGAUUAAAAGUUUACCUUGUGUCUACCAUUCCUUGGGUUAGUCCAUAAUAUUUUUGAUUAAAAGUACUGUCAAUAAGUUACAAAAUCACAAGAAAGUGCUUUGGUGGGAGUGUAACUGACAGAGAAGUCUGUU
ensembl:lncRNA